AUAAAGUUAAAUAUGUUUUUAUUUUUUCAUGUUAACACUAUCUCUUAUCCCUAUUAUAAGAGGACCUUAGGUGUAUUUUUUUUGUCUUAAUCAAAAGAAAAGUAAACAUACUUUAAGACAAGUAUUUAUUACCUGUGAUAAAUUAACACUAAAAUUAUGUACUCACAUUCUAUACAAACUGUAGGACAUGUUAGAAGACAUGAAUAAAUAACCACAAAGUAACAUGAGCACUACAGCAGAACUUCCUUCUCAGCAUAAAAAGGAUGCUAAGCAUGGAUCUGUUCGGUGAGGAAGACCGGUUCGAGCUCCCAAAGCUCUACAUUUGGCAGCUGCCUGCAGUUAUCGCGUUGAAAUAAGUAAAAAAAUCUCAACAUUCUAUUUUCUUACUUCUGUUUGAAAUAAUAUGAAUAGAUUUGUCUUGAGCAACUUACUACUUGUGCAGCAAAGGGUAACAUUAUCUCUGGUACCAUGUUUGAGCAGAUGGCUAUAAAUAAAACAAGUCAGAGCAAAAUCAAUUACUCUGAAAUUAAAAAAUGCCAAAAUAAACUUUCCAAAAAAAUGUAAACAUGCAGAGAGGGCAAGCGUGUGUGUCAUUCAUGUAACUUCACAACUAUCCUUAGAGGACAUAGUUUGAGCUGUUGGUUUUGUAUACUGCUAUUCCAAGCUUACUCUUUGACUAGAUACUGAUAGAAGAGUAUCUUCUUCUAACCAUGCAAAACAGCCAAACAAAUGUGUCAAACCAAUGGUAUUUUGAGAUAUAGUUCUACUUCUGUUAUAUUCCAACCACUUGAUAACCGUGUAGCUCAAAAAAAGAAAGCAAUCUCACGUGCAAACUGACUCUGCAUGGGACUCUAGGUAAGAAAAUAAUGUCUACUACAGCAAAGAUUCUGGAACAAAUAAAGUUGCAUGUCUACUUGAUUAAGAUUUCAUAGAGGAAAAUGUUGGACGGGGGACCAGUUUAAAACCUCAGGAAACUAUGCAAGCUUAGACCUAAAUAAUCGUGAAUGGAACCCCAGAAUUUUUUUCCAAUGAGAGAUUAAAUCAACAUUUUUUUGGGUUCGGGCAAGGGCUGGAUCACUAUCCACUAGGAUGAGCCCAUCCAUAGGGAUGAAAAGGGUGAAGUCUAUGUACCAUAUCAAGUAAGAUGUUUUUGUUUCUUUUUGUGAUUCUAAUGUAGAUGGACACAAGUAAACAAGCCAAAAAUGAAUACCCAUGCGAAGUCUCGAGUAACAAAGCUUAGAAAAAGAGAAAGACAGAAAGAAAAAAUCAGGUCAGAGACUACACCUACCAUACAUAAUCGCUCCAAUAAAUGCAUCCCCUGCACCAGUUGUAUCAAAUAGCUCAGAAUCUGCGUAUCUCUCUGACUGUUCCGAUCAAGAAUCUCCCACAAACUGUGCCUAUUCCAUCUGAUCUGAACUUUCUCACCACCUGGAAAAAUAAAUGGUGAAGAGGAAAAAUCUAUUUUUAAAGAAUUUAUUCAUGUUACCUAUUUGACAAAGAAUUGAACUAAUAUAAGUCUUUCAAUCAUGUAUAUAAAUCCAGUACUGAAACCGACAUUGUUGUCCCCCAACUUAUGUUAGCAAUUUUAAUAUCAAAUUUGAGUAAGCAUACAUAUGAAAUUUUAUACUAAGUUACCAUUUCUUAAUCAAUAGCAUUAACUUACUUAAUCUAAAGAAUUGACACACAAAUUGAACCUAAAAAUGUGGUAUGAUUUAGAUUCUUGAUUGAUAUUAUGAUCAUAAAAGAUGUUUCACUCAACUGCUUUAACUUGUAUAUUGAUAUGAAUUUUGUGUCAAUUGACAGUGACACAUAGCUGACCCAAAUUAAAAUGUUGUCAUGAUCAGUUGAUGUAAUAUUGAAAUGUAAUAAAAAACUGCGACAAUAAUACUUUUCACACCAAUGCAGUGAUAUUCCUUCAAUUUAACUCAUGCUUAUGAACCAAAAGACGUAAUUUGCAAGACUCGCACAUCGGUAUUUAAGCAUGUGGAUUUUACUGCAUGAUUGCUUUUGCAUGGCCUGUAAUUCAAGCUAAACAAAAACUAGCACGAAUUUGACAAGAUUCUUUGAAUUAGCCAUAUAAUUCUCCUCUCUUUGCAAAUUAUUAUCUCCAUCUUAAAAUUUUCUUCUUUUUGUUAAACAAAUAUAUAUUUUUAACUCAACUGGAGUUAUAGAAUAUAUCUCCGCCAUUAAAAUAAAAAGUUGUACAAGUUAUAGGUUCAACAAUACUUUACGCAUGAUAUACAGGUUGAAUAGCCAAGCUAUCAUCUUUUCUCUUUGUACAAGAGUUCUAAGAGCUCUCUAGAUUCCUUUCUUCUACGCUGACAUCCUCUGCCCACAAGAGCAUUAAACUUGUAAGUUACAUUUGCUCAAAGAAAAAAACACUCUACUCCUUUAAGAAGUAAAAUUAAAAAAGUAAAAUGAAAAAGCCAUUCGUUCGUUCACCAUUUGUACUUCUUUCCAACAUUAGACAGCCAUCUUCACCCAGGUCACAAUCACAAACUUGGACAUUUGGCAAUCUUAUAAGCAGGAAACUAAUGCACUCGGCGAUAGAUGGUGCUGUGUCCAAGCCUAACACAAUACAAACAAUCCCAAUGAACACCAAGAAAGAUUAAUCAUAAACGAAUUAUAUGAACAGUUGGACACCUUAUAUAUGCAGUUAGAGAUGCAUUAGAGGUAUGCCUACUAAAACCCUAUUUCGAGCUAACCUGACUUAAUAGAAGAUUAAAAAGUAAAUUUAUAAUAGAUAUUUUCUUUCUGUUUGGAGGUUCCGAAAUUCUGAAACACCAUGAAGUGUUUGAAAAUUGAAUUAAAUGUCUCCCUUCUAAUGAAAUCUGAAAAGAUAAACACUUUCUACAAGCCUUACUAUCAAUAUACUAGUGAAUCCAACUCAUGUAGUUCUGAAUCAUAGAAAAUGUAUGUAAGCCCCUCAUUACCAGUGGAAACUUGCUGAACAUACAACAAAACCAGCAAGCUUCAAUAGCUCAUUAACCCUUCCUUGGUGAUUCUGCUCAACUAAAAUAGGAAUAUUAUGCGAGCUGCCUGUACAAGGUUGUCAAAUUCUAAAGAUUAAACCAGAACAGACAAGUAUUAAUAGACAAAUUCACAUGACAGGAAAUAGUGUUCACAACCCAAUGAAGAAAAAGAGCAUUACAUAUUCAAAAUAAAUGGACAAAUUAAAAAAUCACAAAGUUUAAAUUACUAAUGAAUGAAAUAUGGAGGGACUGGGUUCUCCUCAUUGGAGCUGGAUUCAACUCGGUAACCUAGGUUUCAGCCAUCAGAUUUAGGUUCGUUCACCUCGUUGGCCUUUUGGGUUCAUUUCAAACUCACAACAAUUGAUUUGUUCAGUGUUCCUGGUGUAAUGACUUUGUUUACUCUAGGAACUACGGUGGGUUGGGACUCAAUGGAGCAUCAUUCGCCUCCUCUGUUAUAUUUGUUCCAUCUGGGAGAAAAUAGCAAUUAUAUUGUACUCUCGUUCAAUUGUCCUCAAAUCAAAGGUCUAUUACGAGUUUUUGUGAGUCUACAUGAGUUGACACAGAAAGGAUCCUGUAAGCAAGUUAAUUUGAUUUUGAUGCCUAGAAACAUAAGAUUGUAUGAGCUAACUUGGGAGUUUGAGAAACAAUGUUCAGGCUGACUAAGGGAAGUAGGUAUUAUUUCAAUCAUAAUAUUAUAGUUCACAUACCCCCAAGCUGGGAAACAAAAACAAACCUAGCCAACAUGACAAAUCAAAGCCCCAGCAAGUAAGCUUUAUGCCUGACCUUUUUGUCUUUUUGAGUAAUUUUGAAAUGAACCAACAACUUAAAAUAAUUUAUAGCUUACUACUAUGUAUGGCUUAAAAAGUCAUCCAGCGAUAGUGAAAAGGUGAGAGCAAAAGUGAGAUGAUGAUUACCUCUUGUCCAACAAAUAGAGCAGUUUCAAUAGACAUUCCAUCAAAAUAAACUAAUCUUGCUCCCUCAAAUGCAGAUAACAACAUUGACCGAGACAAAUCAUCCGGCAUUAAUGGAGGAUCUCCAGGGGUGUAAAUACUUGUGCGCGUUUUUCUGAGAGUAUAGCUUAUAAUUAGUUGAGUCAAUUAAACUAUUGAAAUCCUAGGUAGAUUGCCUCAAAUAUAUUUAAUCAUAUAUAUCUAUUUUAAUCACCUCUAAUAUUACAAAAUAUAAUUGAUGCAGCAGUAUUGUUAAUACAGAUUAACUUCGAGAGACUAAGGCUGCAUAACCAGGAGAGACACUAUUAGAUAGUAAGGGUCAUGAUGAGAUGAAAAAAUUUGUAUUGAUAUACAUUAUAAACGAGGACUCAGAACUUGCCCGUUUAUGCAUAAUUUUAGACUGAAGAUGUGUUAUGUAAAUAAAUGAGGUACCGGCUGAAAUAUUAAUAGAGCUCCACCAUUAUUUCAUGAGUGCAUUUUCAAAAAAUAUUUUCCUAUCUUACCAUUGUAAGCCUUGGGUCAAUAGGUUGUUGAUAAUGUUAAAGAAAGUCAUGCUAAUAUUAACCCGUGGGAAGUAAAGAGUAAAUCAUAGAAACAACUGCCUUACGUUUGGCUGUCGACUAAUACAUAUGAAAAUGUUGAACUGCCACCCUUGGAUACCUGAAAAAUGAAAACAAUAAACUCUCAACUUAGAAAGUUACAACUAAUUAGGAAAAAAGUGCAAAUAGUGAAGCAUCAUCAAUAGACAAAUUUAAAAACACAACAAUAUGGGAGCAUAUAGAAAGAUUUAAAAAGAAACUAAUGAAAUACCACACUUCCCAAUUUACUUUAAUCUCAAAGGCUCAUAACAAGUACAUGCUCAAUGAAGAAGGGUCUUCCACUGUGCAUACAAUACAAUACAAAAAAAAGUAUUUGAUUUGGACAGGUAGGUAACCAUGAUGACAUUUCAGCUCAAGGCAAUUCGCUUAUCAUACAAACACAUCAAUAUGGAAGAAUCUUCCACUGGCAUUCCGCCUAUCUGCCUAUCAUACAAUCACGAAAUAACUUUUACGAGUGCGUGUAGAGAAGCCCUAGCUUAUCAAAUAAAUAAAUCAAACACUGAAAGUUGAAACUUGAAACACACGUUGACAUAUGUACAAAUAAUAAGUGGAAAGAUAAGUUCCAAUCUCUAUCAGACGACACACGCAGAUAUGGUUAUGAACUGAUUUUAUUUUUUUCAUAUGCAAAUCAGCACUCACAUGAACACAUUGCAUCCUGACAACACAUUUUGCCCUUGUAGAAAUAAACAAAACUAUCAGUUUUGCAUAAUAAUCAUUCGAAUUUCAUAAGACAUACAUCAUACAUGCUCAAUGCUUCCAGUUCCAGAGCAAAAGCAAUCAUUCAUUCCAAUUUCCAAAACCAAUAAACUAACAGUUAAACAACACAGAAGCUGAAUCUUACAACGAUAAAUGAAGUAUCAACACCAUCGGCUUCAAGUUCCUCCAAUAUGCUCUUUCCUUGAGAAUCAUCAGCAACCUAAUUGAAAACACAUACAAACAAACACCUCAAUCAAAACUCAACGCUCCCAAUCAGAUCAGCAGAUGAGAAAAUAAAUAAACAGAAACAAAAUUGAAAAACCUUGGAAAUAAGCUUCGGUUUCAAUCCGAGUCGAGCCGCGCAUGUUAAAGCAUUACCGGCAUUUCCACCUCCUUGCACCUUGGAGGAGGUUGUUCGGAUCUUAUCGUCCGGUUUCGGAUAUCCAUCGACGGUAGCUAAGAAAUCCACCGUCGUCAUUCCGCAUCCAAUCUGCACACAAAGAGAAACCUAAAUAACUACACGCGCGCACAGAGAGAGUGGAAGAGAUAUAGAGAUAGAGGAGGAAACGAACG
rnacentral:lncRNA from 1 species